rnacentral:lncRNA from 1 species
GCCAAGUCCUUGUAGGGAUUAGCUAGCAACUAUCCACUAAAGGAGUGAGACAUUUUGCCCCUUUUUAUUUUCUUUCCCUUAGGCAUCAUGAAAAGAAAAAUAUGGCGCCAUGGUCUUCAGACCCCUUUGAUGGGAUAAUCUUGAAGAUCUCCCAUAACAAGUUACCAGAGUGAUAUUUCAAAAGGUGGUGACCCCUGAUACCCCAGACUCUGUCUCCAGGCCUGCUUCUGGAGAACCCAGCCUGCGAUACGUGACCAGCAGACAGAUGGUUAUUGGUUAUUUUGCAUCCAGCUUCAAGAGAAGGGAGAAGUGGACCACACAGAGUGACACUAAGAC